rnacentral:rRNA from 1 species
GAUGAAUGCUGGCGGCGUGCUUAACACAUGCAGGUCGAGCGGUAAGGCCCUUCGGGGUAUACGAGCGGCGGACGGCUGAGUAACGCGUGGGAACAUGCCCUAAAGUGAGGAAUAACUGCCCGAAAGGGUGGCUAAUGCCGCAUAUGAUCUUCGGAUUAAAGGAUUUAUCCGCUUUAGGAGGGGACUGCGUACGAUUAGCUUGUUGGUGAGGUAAUGGCUUACCAAGGCGACGAUCGUUAGCUGGUCUGAGAGGAUGACCAGCCAGACUGGAACUGGGACACGGGCCAGACUCCUACGGGAGGCAGCAGUGAGGAAUCUUCCACAAAGGGCGAAAGCCUGAUGGAGCAACGCCGCGUGCAGGAUGAAGGCCCUCGGGUCGUAAACUGCUUUUAUGAGUGAAGAAUAUGACGGUAACUCAUGAAUAAGCACCGGCUAACUACGUGCCAGCCGCCGCAGUA